rnacentral:lncRNA from 1 species
GUAACUUGCUCCCCAUGCUGCUUUUGGGCUGCUGGAUGUCAUGGUUCUCUCUGGGAGAGUGCUAGUAUUUCAGUGCUUCCUUUAGUUCCAGGAGUCACAAAGAAAGCAAGACAAAUUGCAGAAAUCUUGGUGCCUCCUCCAACAGAAAUGCUGGCCUCUGCACGGCCAAACCUGCAUUGCACGAGGAACAUCGUCCCACCUACCCAUGGAUCUGCCUGGGAGUAAAAGGUGUACAUUGCAAGGCCAUCCACAGUAAGUGCCAUGGGACGAGCUGCAUUAUUUUCACCCAAAUAUUUCUUCUGGUAGAGCAAUUUGAUGAAGAAAGUAAUCCAAGCCUCCCCCUGCCAGUUUUGCAGCACACCAAGGAGUGGCCAAAGCCAAGGUUCAAAGCUGUGCUCAUGGAGGAAAAAAAGAUACAAGCAAGCAGUGACUGCCUUCAUUGUAUGGUUUAGUUUUGACUAAACUCAAGUCACUUUUAAAUUCUCAGACUUCAGGGGGCUUCUCUCUCACUUCUG